GUGGGAAGGCCCAGACAGCCAGGAUGUUGGCUUGGAAGCAGCCAUUCAUUUAAAGAGUGCGUAACAGCUCACUAGUCGAGCGGUCCGGCAUGGAUAAUAAUCGGGCAUAAACAUAUUACCGAAGCUAUGGAUUUGUAUUUUAGAUACAUCUGGUAGGGGAGCAUUCUAUUUGCGCCGAAGCAGUAUCGCGAGGUAUUGUGGAGCGGAUAGAAAAGAAAAUGUAGGCAUAAGUAACGAUAAAGGGGGCGAGAAACCCCCUCACCGAAAGACUAAGGUUUCCUCAGCCAUGCUAAUCAGCUGAGGGUUAGUCGGGACCUAACGCGAACCCGAAAGGGGUAGUGGAUGGACAAUGGGUUAAUAUUCCCAUACUUGCUCACACUAAAAAGGGGACGGUUCGAUGUAGCUACUGGAGACUGACGGAAUAGUCAAGGCCUAGCCUUCGGGCGAAGCUGCUGUAGUGAACUCGGAUCCAAGAAAAGCCGAAGUGAAGCAACCCGUACCAAAACCGACACAGGUAGUCGAGGAGAGAAUCCUAAGGUGCUCGAGUGAGUCGUGGCUAAGGAACUAGGCAAAAUAGUCUCGUA
rnacentral:rRNA from 1 species